rnacentral:rRNA from 1 species
UGCAUGGAGCCGACCUUGAAAUACCACCCUUUAAUGUUUGAUGUUCUAACGUUGACCCGUAAUCCGGGUUGCGGACAGUGUCUGGUGGGUAGUUUGACUGGGGCGGUCUCCUCCUAAAGAGUAACGGAGGAGCACGAAGGUUGGCUAAUCCUGGUCGGACAUCAGGAGGUUAGUGCAAUGGCAUAAGCCAGCUUGACUGCGAGCGUGACGGCGCGAGCAGGUGCGAAAGCAGGUCAUAGUGAUCCGGUGGUUCUGAAUGGAAGGGCCAUCGCUCAACGGAUAAAAGGUACUCCGGGGAUAACAGGCUGAUACCGCCCAAGAGUUCAUAUCGACGGCGGUGUUUGGCACCUCGAUGUCGGCUCAUCACAUCCUGGGGCUGAAGUAGGUCCCAAGGGUAUGGCUGUUCGCCAUUUAAAGUGGUACGCGAGCUGGGUUUAGAACGUCGUGAGACAGUUCGGUCCCUAUCUGCCGUGGGCGCUGGAGAACUGAGGGGGGCUGCUCCUAGUACGAGAGGACCGGAGUGGACGCAUCACUGGUGUUCGGGUUGUCAUGCCAAUGGCACUGCCCGGUAGCUAAAUGCGGAAGAGAUAAGUGCUGAAAGCAUCUAAGCACGAAACUUGCCCCGAGAUGAGUUCUCCCUGACUCCUUGAGAGUCCUGAAGGAACGUUGAAGACGACGACGUUGAUAGGCCGGGUGUGUAAGCGCAGCGAUGCGUUGAGCUAACCGGUACUAAUGAACCGUGAGGCUUAACCUUACAACGCCGAAG